rnacentral:lncRNA from 1 species
GUGUGAGGCCUGAACUGUGCAGUGUCCACACUGGGAGGAUGUGAAACCAGACUUUUGGGCAGAGGCAAGUCGAGGCUGGCUGGCAGAUGCAUGGGGAGGGGAGGCUGGCAGGUACAGGAGUGGUCACCCAUUCAGCUGGAGCUGCAAGGUCACCAAGUGACUUGUCCUUUGGGUGUGUACCUGGGGCAGAGCAUCACCAAGUGUCUUUACACACCCACACCACUCCCCAGCUUGCAACAGGAGGGCCAGGGGCAAACACCUGUAGCAGGAACUAGGCAAAGGACCGCUUUCUCCUGCAGUGUCCCUCCUGCACCUUCUACUGACAACUGGUAAUAUUGUGCUCACUUAAAGGAGAAACAAAGAACCCAGUCCAUUAUCCCACAGCAGGUAUGGAACGGUGAAUUUGGAGCUGAGAGUCUUGAUAACUGGCACACCAUGUGUUUUGGCCAACAGGAUGUGGGUAGACAUGAUGCAAGCAGCGCCCCGAGAUCUACUUGCAAGGUUGGGUUUGCCCUCUGGCACUUCCGCCCUUACCCUGAGCCAGGCUUUCCCUGUAAGCUUCUCUCCUUCCGCCGGGCCCCUGAAUGAGCACAAGACCCAACCCUGAGCCCAGCUCACUGAGAGGCCAAGGCCAGCUGGCCCAGAGCUUGAAGCCCACUCACCCAGCCCAGCCCAGCCUAGACCAGCUGAUUCCUGCAAACCCAUGGAGGCGACAGUAGAUGCUUAUUGUUGUGUGUUACUGGUUGGGGGCGGCUUGUUAUGCAACAUUUUUCUGAAUAAGACCAGCCAGUACUGAAAUCAGUGUCUCGAAAGAGGCUCUGGCUGUACCCAACGGUAGAAGGGCAGAUGGUGGUUUCUUCUGCAUACUCGUAUCUGCUUCCUGUCUUGUCCAGUCUGUGAAAGUAGAUGUUUAUUGCAGUAAGUCUACUGCAAGUGGUCCACUGCUGCAAGUCUGCAGUGUCCUGUCACUGGAUUCGGGCUGCGAGAGGGGUGGAUAACUCAGAUCAUGGUGUACAUGUGUAGCUGCUUCAAUCAUAGCUUUCCCGGUGCCUCACUUGGACCUAAUGUAGAUCCUGAACUUGUCUGAUUGAAUGAGGCUUUGAGGACUUGGGAUAAAGCUGAGUAUAUUUUGCAUGUGGUAGAGCUGUAAAUAAUUAUGACCAAGAGGGCAGAUCAUGGUAGAUUAAACUUUUCCCCCGCCUUGUUCACUUAUUCUGUCUUGUGCCCUUUGCCACAAGGCUUUUCAGAUCCUCCCAUUAGAAGGAGGUAUGUUUCCCUGCCCUUGCUUUAGGGCUUAGUCCUGUGACUCGUUCUGACUGAUGGGAUGGUAGCACAUGUGAUACAAGCAGAGGCUUGUGAUCUGCUUGCGUCGUCAGACUUGACUUUUUGCAUUUUUGCCAUUUCCAAGAGAAAGCUUCCCCUGCUAGCUACUACU